GCGAUCUAAUGGUGGAGAGUGGGCCAUGUGUCCCUACACCGAUGGCCCAGAUCGAUGCAGAGAAUGUAUAAAAGUAUCACAUCCCUAAAACCCUAACCCUAGCCAUGCCUGAGCUCGCUAGAGAAGAAGAAGAAAGACAACCGGAAAGAAAACCAAUGGUCGUCGUUACCGCACCAAAGCCAUAACCGAUGCCAAAAAGGUAAAAAAAAUUUCCUCUUCCA
rnacentral:lncRNA from 1 species